CUUACUUUGGCUUUCUUCUGAAACCUAAUAAAAUGACAGUAAAGGGAUUAUUUUUUUAAGGCAGAAGCCCACAAUGAUGAUGAAAUUAGAAAGGAAGACAAGAACAACAAGGUUGUGGAAUUCAGAAGCCAUAUAGACAAGAGGCCACUAGAGAUUAGAAAAUUGUUCUCUGGGGUAUCUGACCACUUCCAGAGGAAAGACAUAAAGAUGCUGAUGUCAAGAAUGACCCAACUAAACGGCCCAGCCAGAUGACCCAGUUGAAGCUGGUGGACAAGAAGUUUCAUUCAUGGAAUCAGAACUUCCAA
rnacentral:lncRNA from 10 species